GGUAACCUACCUAUAAGACUGGGAUAACUUCGGGAAACCGGAGCUAAUACUGGAUAACAUUUGGAACCGCAUGGUUCUAAAGUGAAAGAUGGUUUUGCUAUCACUUAUAGAUGGACCCGCGCCGUAUUAGCUAGUUGGUAAGGUAACGGCUUACCAAGGCAACGAUACGUAGCCGACCUGAGAGGGUGAUCGGCCACACUGGAACUGAGACACGGUCCAG
rnacentral:rRNA from 1 species